UACGUAGGGUGCGAGCGUUGUCCGGAAUUAUUGGGCGUAAAGAGCGUGUAGGCGGCUAGGUAGGUCCGUUGUGAAAACUCGAGGCUCAACCUCGAGACGCCGGUGGAAACCAUCUAGCUAGAGUCCGGAAGAGGAGAGUGGAAUUCCUGGUGUAGCGGUGAAAUGCGCAGAUAUCAGGAAGAACACCCGUGGCGAAGGCGGCUCUCUGGGACGUGACUGACGCUGAGACGCGAAAGCGUGGGGAGCGAACAGG
rnacentral:rRNA from 1 species